rnacentral:misc_RNA from 1 species
CGGUUACUGUUGAAGGCAUUGAAUUCGUCAAGUGUGAAGUUGUAGGGCAGAGUUUCAUGCUUCAUCAGAUACGGAAAAUGAUUGGUCUUGCUGUGGCAGUUGUGAGGAAUUGUGCCCCUGAGUCACUGAUAUCAACUGCUCUACAAAAAGAUGUGAACAUUAAUGUGCCUACGGCUCCUGAGGUUGGGUUAUACUUGGAUGAGUGCCUAUUCGCAUCAUAUAACCAGAAAUGGAAAGACAGCCAUGAAGAAAUCUCAAUGAAAGAUUAUGAAGAAAUGGCAGAGGACUUCAAAAUGAAGCAUAUAUACUCUCAUAUUGCGUCAACAGAACAUAAGGAAGGAGCAGUGGCCCUGUGGUUGCAUUCUUUGAACCACAGAAACUACCCUGAUCUCCGUGUUAGCAACUAUGGAGAUACCAAUGGUGAGAUGGAGAACUUGGCUAAGGAAAUGUAAAACACUUUAUCUCUUGUCUUAGUGCUAUUAAUAUGGUCUUUGAGCUGAUUAUUCACCUACAUAAACUUUUUACUUGCUUUGGACUACAUUGAAAACAUUUAAUUAGUUUUUGGUUAAUUUUUUCAUGCUUACAAGUUAUGAGUUACCUGUC